UAACCAGAGAGCCAGUCAUCCAUAACUCUUCAUUGAGAGAGAGGGUACAUGGAAUUCAAUAAUGUCGCUAUGACUCGUUUCUUCCUCGCGUGGUGCCUGCUCGUGACCACGGCGACAGCUCUGACCGGCCAUCACGGAGUAAGAGCCACUCUGGAAGCUGGCAACUCCACCAAUCCGCAGGGGUGCCGCGGAGGCGAGUGCCUCAUCGCCUACCAGCAAACAGAGGUGGAGCUGAUGGCGGCGCUGGACCCGGAGCAUGAUGCCUUGGCCAGCAUGCUGGCCGUCGGACAUGGAGACGCCGUCAAUGAGGCCAGGAAUCCGAACAACGCCGGUUGUGGCCGUCUCAAACCGCGCUACACGCCCUGCCCUACCCAAGAAAACCCCCAUCCUCCCAGGGACGUUUAUUACCGUGCUCGGCCGUAGACCGGGGGAGAAGAGAGCUGUCGACGACGGAAAAGCGUCAUCAUUUCAGAAUUUUGCCAAGUGUUGGAGGAUUAGGAGAGUGCCGAUUUUAGCCGGAGCAUAUCGCGCAUUAUGCGCAGUGAAUGUUUCACGAAAAACACGCCUAAUAUCUCGGAGGAUGUGCAGCAGCAACCGUGUUUAGUAGAGUAUAACUAUUUAUUUGUAAAUAAUUGUAGUGGGAGCCCCAUUGUGUCUUGUUGAAGGGAUUGCACAAGUAUUAAUAAAACCUCUCUUGAUUUUCCUUCGGUUA